UGGGGAAUUUUGGACAAUGGGCGAAAGCCUGAUCCAGCAAUGCCGCGUGUGUGAAGAAGGCCUUCGGGUUGUAAAGCACUUUUGUCCGGAAAGAAAUCCUUGGCUCUAAUAAGUCGGGGGGAUGACGGUACCGGAAGAAUAAGCACCGGCUAACUACGUGCCAGCAGCCGCGGUAAUACGUAGGGUGCAAGCGUUAAUCGGAAUUACUGGGCGUAAAGCGUGCGCAGGCGGUUUGCUAAGACCGAUGUGAAAUCCCCGGGCUCAACCGGGAACUGCAUGGUGACUGGCAGGCUAGAGUAUGGCAGAGGGGGGUAGAAUUCCACGUGUNGCAGUGAAAUGCGUAGAGAUGUGGAGGAAUACCGAUGGCGAAGGCANCCCCCUGGGCCAAUACUGACGCUCAUGCACGAAAGCGU
rnacentral:rRNA from 1 species